AGACCCGAAACCCGGUGAUCUAGCCAUGGGCAGGUUGAAGGUUGGGUAACACUAACUGGAGGACCGAACCGACUAAUGUUGAAAAAUUAGCGGAUGACCUGUGGCUGGGGGUGAAAGGCCAAUCAAACCGGGAGAUAGCUGGUUCUCCCCGAAAGCUAUUUAGGUAGCGCCUCGUGAAUUCAUCUCCGGGGGUAGAGCACUGUUUCGGCUAGGGGGCCAUCCCGGCUUACCAACCCGAUGCAAACUGCGAAUACCGGAGAAUGUUAUCACGGGAGACACACGGCGGGUGCUAACGUCCGUCGUGAAGAGGGAAACAACCCAGACCGCCAGCUAAGGUCCCAAAGUCAUGGUUAAGUGGGAAACGAUGUGGGAAGGCCCAGACAGCCAGGAUGUUGGCUUAGAAGCAGCCAUCAUUUAAAGAAAGCGUAAUAGCUCACUGGUCGAGUCGGCCUGCGCGGAAGAUGUAACGGGGCUAAACCAUGCACCGAAGCUGCGGCAGCGACACUGUGUGUUGUUGGGUAGGGGAGCGUUCUGUAAGCCUGUGAAGGUGUGUCGUGAGGCAUGCUGG
rnacentral:rRNA from 4 species